rnacentral:sRNA from 1 species
GCCAGGCAUAGUGGUGCAUGCCUGUAAUCCCAGCUGCUUGGGAGGCUGAGGCAGGAGGAUUGUGAGUUCAAAGAGAGCCUCAGCAAAAAAGUGAGGCACUAAGCAAUUCAGUCAGACUCCGUCUCUA